rnacentral:rRNA from 1 species
GAUGAACGCUGGCGGCGUGCCUAAUACAUGCAAGUCGAGCGAACAGACGAGGAGCUUGCUCCUCUGACGUUAGCGGCGGACGGGUGAGUAACACGUGGAUAACCUACCUAUAAGACUGGGAUAACUUCGGGAAAACGGAGCUACUAACGGAUAAUAUAUUGAACCGCAUGGUUCAAUAGUGAAAGACGGUUUUGCUGUCACUUAUAGAUGGAUCCGCGCCGCAUUAGCUAGUUGGUAAGGUAACGGCUUACCAAGGCAACGAUGCGUAGCCGACCUGAGAGGGUGAUCGGCCACACUGGAACUGAGACACGGUCCAGACUCCUACGGGAGGCAGCAGUAGGGAAUCUUCCGCAAUGGGCGAAAGCUUGACGGAGCAACGCCGCGUGAGUGAUGAAGGUCUUCGGAUCGUAAAACUCUUUUAUUAGGGAAGAACAAAUGUGUAAGUAACUAUGCACGUCUUGACGGUACCUAAUCAGAAAGCCACGGCUAACUACGUG